rnacentral:tRNA from 1 species
GAGGUACUGGUAAAAUCGUAUAUCACACCGCCUUGUCGAGGCCGAGUUGCGGGUUUAACCCCCGCGUAUCUUU